rnacentral:lncRNA from 1 species
AAGAUUGACGGAGCGAUGCUAAUGUGGUCGUCAAGUAAAAUUUCUAGAAAGGACAAUCAUCAAUUUAUAUAAAGAAUAUCUUUGUCUUAAUAUUUAUGCACGAUAUUAUUAUGUUGUCUAAUAAUUUGAAAUCGAAUAUUUUCGAUAUGUUUCCGCUUAAAUUAGAUAGAGAAAAAUUUUGGUAGCACCUUGAGCUCAUUUUUAUUUAAAAAAAACAAUAAUAAUGAAAAAGAGUUCGGG